UACGUAGGGAGCAAGCGUUGUCCGGAAUCAUUGGGCGUAAAGCGCGCGUAGGUGGCCACAUAAGUCCGUUGUGAAAGUCAAAGGCUCAACCUUUGAAAGCCGAUGGAUACUGUGUGGCUAGAGUACGGAAGAGGCGAGUGGAAUUCCUGGUGUAGCGGUGGAAUGCGCAGAUAUCAGGAGGAACACCAAUAGCGAAGGCAGCUCGCUGGGACGUUACUGACACUGAGGCGCGAAAGCCUGGGGAGCGAACAGG
rnacentral:rRNA from 1 species